rnacentral:rRNA from 1 species
UGAAUACGAGACGCUAAGGCGUCGAAGUAGUGUAUGUCAUACUUCCAAGAAAAGCUUGCACUGUCAUAGAUAAAAAACGCCUGUACCAUAACCGACACAGGUGGGUAGGUAGAGUAUACUAAGGGGCGCGAGAUAACUCUCUCUAAGGAACUCGGCAAAAUAACUCCGUAACUUCGGGAGAAGGAGUGCCUUAUUCGUAAGGUUGCAAUAACAAGAUCCAAGCAACUGUUUAUCAAAAACACAGGUCUCCGCUAAGUCGUAAGACGAUGUAUGGGGGCUGACGCCUGCCCAGUGCCAGAAGGUUAAAGAAGUUGGUUAGCAAUUGCGAAGCUGAUAACUGAAGCCCUGGUGAACGGCGGCCGUAACUAUAACGGUCCUAAGGUAGCGAAAUUCCUUGUCGGGUAAGUUCCGACCCGCACGAAAGGCGUAAUGAUUUGGAUACUGUCUCGGAGAGGGGCUCGGUGAAAUAGACUUGUCUGUGAAGAUGCGGACUACCUGCACCAGGACAGAAAGACCCUAUGAAGCUUUACUGUAACUUGAAAUUGAAAUUGGACUUUAUUCGCGCAGUAUAGGUAGGAGGCGUUGAUUAUAAUCUUGUGGGAUUAUUGGAGCCAUCAGUGAGAUACCACUCUUGUAAUGUUAGAUCUCUAACUUUGAAUCAUUAUCUGGUCAAAGAACAGUUUCAGGCGGGCAGUUUGACUGGGGCGGUCGCCUCCUAAACGGUAACGGAGGCGUACAAAGGUUUCCUCUGAACGGUUAGAAAUCGUAUCUAGAGUGUAAAGGCAUAAGGACUCUUGACUGUGAGACCUACAAGUCGAGCAGGGACGAAAGUCGGUCUUAGUGAUCUGACGGUACUGAGUGGAAAGGCCGUCACUCAACGGAUAAAAGUUACUCUAGGAUAACAGGCUGAUCUCCCCCAAGAGCUCACAUCGACGGGGAGGUUUGGCACCUCGAUGUCGGCUCAUCGCAUCCUGGGGCGGUAGUACGUCCCAAGGGUUGGGCUGUUCGCCCAUGAAAGCGGUACGCGAGCUGGGUUCAGAACGUCGUGAGACAGUUCGGUCCAUAUCCGGUGUAGGCGUUAGAAUAUUGAGAGGAGCCUUCUUUAGUACGAGAGGACCGAGAAGGACAUACCUCUGGUGUACCAGUUAUCGUGCCAACGGUAAACGCUGGGUAGCUAUGUAUGGAGUGGAUAACCGCUGAAAGCAUCUAAGUGGGAAGCCCACCUCAAGAUAAGUAUUCUCAUC